rnacentral:rRNA from 1 species
CAGUCGCCGCGGGAAUACGGAGGGGGCUAGCGUUGUUCGGAAUUACUGGGCGUAAAGCGCACGUAGGCGGCUUGGUAAGUUAGAAGUGAAAGCCUGGAGCCCGACUCCAGAAUUGCCUUUAAGACUGCCGAGCUAGCAGGUGAGAGAGGUAAGUGGAAUUCCGAGUGUAGAGGUGAAAUUCGUAGAUAUUCGGAAGAACACCAGUGGCGAAGGCGGCUUACUGGCUCAUACUGGACGCUGAGGUGCGAAAGCGUGGGGAGCAAACAGGAUUAGAUACCCGCGUAGUCCCUGUCUCUUAUAC